rnacentral:rRNA from 1 species
AUACGUAGGGUGCGAGCGUUAAUCGGAAUUACUGGGCGUAAAGCGUGCGCAGGUGGUUUUGUAAGUCAGAUGUGAAAUCCCCGGGCUUAACCUGGGAACUGCGUUUGAAACUGCAAGGCUAGAGUGUGGCAGAGGGGGGUGGAAUUCCGCGUGUAGCAGUGAAAUGCGUAGAGAUGUGGAGGAACACCAAUGGCGAAGGCAGCCCCCUGGGUCAACACUGACGCUCAGGCACGAAAGCAUGGGGAGCAAACAGGAUUAGAUACCCCGGUAGUCC